rnacentral:misc_RNA from 1 species
AACCUAGCACACCUGCGGUGUGUACCUGCGGAGGGAUCAUUACCGAGUUUGCUUUUCUAGCUCGAAACCCACUGUGAACAUACCUCUUUACUCGUUGCUUCGGCGGCAGUCCCCCUCUCCCGUCCGGGAGUCGGGUUCGACCGUCGGAGGGACGCAACCACAAACUCUUUUAAAUUACCUCUCGAGUAUUAUCUGAGUCGAUAUUUUUUAAAUUAUCAAAACUUUCAACAAUGGAUCUCA